CCCCUCUCAGGAUUGCACCUGGAGAGUUUCCAAUACUCUACCAGUCUCAGCUACGGGAGGGAAUGUCAAGUAGAAGCAUCACCAUUCCAUUCCUAACUUGGGCAGUGGCUAGUGAGGGGAAGGCAAUCUUCUACAAGU